CCGGGCUCUUUUGUGGAGCUAAUGGCGGACUCUGGUAGGGCUCACGCCAAGGAGUACUUCCCAGAACUUCUGCUGCCAGUGUCCUUGUCCUCACGGUGAUCCACAGCCACCCCCGGCCUCUGCAGGAGACCCUCCAACACUAGCAGGUAGUGUUUUUCAUGUCCUGCCUAAGAAAAAUUUGCCUUCCCCAAUGUCAUGAAGAGGUCUGGUGGUACACAACAAUUUCUUCUUAUCUUCUGGAAGGGGCUGAAGAUGAAACUUUCCCUACACUCAAGAAAAG